AGCGUCAUAGGUCUCGCUGAUUUUGAUAGUGACGCGUUUAACCUUCGUCCAACGUGGGGCGUACCAACGCGUCACUAUCAAAAUCAGCGAGAUUCAGUAGAAGCU
rnacentral:pre_miRNA from 1 species